rfam:Burkholderia sp. TJI49 contig571.3, whole genome shotgun sequence.
CGGGAUGUGUCAGGAGAGACCGCCGUCCGGCGGCGCCGAAGGGGAAUCGCCCCAGAAACUCUCAGGCAAAAGGACUGACGCAUCGAC